rnacentral:rRNA from 1 species
GUGUCAGCAGCCGCGGUAAUACGUAGGGGCCGAGCGUUGUCCGGAGUUACUGGGCGUAAAGCGCGCGCAGGCGGCUCGUCAAGCCUGACGUGAAAGCCCCCGGCUCAACCGGGGAGGGUCGUCGGGGACUGGCGGGCUUGAGGUCGGCAGGGGUUGGUGGAAUUCCCGGUGUAGUGGUGAAAUGCGUAGAGAUCGGGAGGAACACCCGUGGCGAAGGCGGCCAACUGGGCCGGACCUGACGCUGAGGCGCGAAGGCGUGGGGAGCGAACGGGAUUAGAUACCCCGGUAGUCC